rnacentral:lncRNA from 10 species
GCGCGGCACUUGGUUGGGGCCACUCAGGCACCCCCUCCUUGGGCUGGCCUCCGACCUCCCUGAGCCACUUCCUGGUCUGCACCCCUUCUUCCUCACAGAGCUGAGGUGACCAGCAGAUGACACUUGGGCCCUCUGCCAACCUGUGAAGGCCUGAACACCCCUGUGGUAACAGGGAUUAUCCUGAACUCUUGUUGAACGUGCCCCUCCCGUGUGCCGGAGAUUUUCCAUCCUAGUGCCUGCGCUCACCACGACUAUGCCAGUGCUGUGAGGCAGACUCUCCAGAGGAUAGAUAAGAGGCCAGGACACUGUCUUCAGCCAUGAGGAUCUCCCCAGCUAGGGAGGAAACAUCUUACCGUGGAUCAGGAAGCAGAAAUCUGAGCAAAAAUGGCUGUCAUCCCACGCCCUCAGUGCAGACAGGCACCGUACGAAGGCCCUCUUAUUGCAAAAUGACUUGUGUAAAAAUCAUUCAAGACCAAGAGAAAUCAAUGACUAUUGAUCCCAUCUUGGUUCUGCAUUGUCUCCAAGAAUAUCUCGCGAGCUGAAUCAAGUAUCACAACAAGCUAUCAUCAGGUGGAGGCCAGGAAGGAGAAUAUGGACAAGGACCAUCCUAGCAGGCUUCCUGGAUGGGGAGGGGAGAGGAGAUUGAGGAUUAGGAAGUGGUGGGAACACAGCACCUUAAGGAGGUGGGAUGGGUGGCAGGCAGCAGCAUGGCCUCAGGAGCUAGACUUUCGAGGCUGAAAUCCGGCCCUGCCCCCUACCAGCUGUGACCAUGGGCAAGUGACCCAGCCCCUGGGUGCCUCAGUUUCCUCCUCUGUAAACAGGGAUAGAAGCAGGCUGCCCUCAUUGGGUUGUCGAUGUGAGAGCUCUAUUAACUAUUAUCCGUAAAAUCGUCUACUAUUGCCUGUAGUCUGCAGGUGUCAUAAAACAUUGAUUAUGACCAUGGGGCUGCAUGCCAGCCUCGGGGGCCUGGAGACGUAUAGGCAGGGGCCCAACUGAGGGAGCAGAGGAAGCCGCAAGGGAAGAUGAGCCCAGCACGAGAUGAUCCGAAAGCCAAGUGUGGGGCGCUGCCGAGCCUUCUGACCUGGGGCCUGGUGAGCCCAGGCCUCUGGACAUCUCAGGGCUUCUACUGACAGAGUUACCUCACUAUCAUGGGAAACCUCUUCAUUCAUCACCCUCAUUGUUCUGGGAAGUUGGAGAAGAGAAAAAGAGCAAACGGCUCACUCUUCCCUAGGGGGUUGGAGCAGAUGACCGCUGUCCUGCCAGCAGCCACAGGCCUUGGGGCCAAGAAGGCUCAUUGUUUUUUUCACUGCACGUUUUCUAAGCCCUCUGCAAAAAGCAUAUUUCCUCUGCAACACAACAACCCAACAGUCCCACUCAAGUCCUCGCCACUCUUCCUUUUCAUAAUAAAAAGACGUGGUGAGGACAGUAUCAUUACGAAGGGGGACCCAAGACACACGAUGAAGACAGAGGCCACCUUGUCCUAACAUUCCCGACCUGGGACGCGCCCCACUCCGACCUCUUCCAACCCAAGGGCUCGGCAACAUCCUGACCUUUUCCUUCUUCCUAUCAAGAUUUACAGGGAAAAUGUGUGUGUGGCUUUUAUUUUUAUUUUUGGAAGUAAGUUUUCUUAUUGAAUUCCAGUAAGACUUGGCAGCUUCCGGGUAAGUCCUCUUAGAAGGGUGGUGAUGGUGAUGGCCACACCCAGCAGUCGGUGAGCACCCAGCACACGCCAAGCCGGCUCUAACUGCGUAGAUGGGUUAACUCAUUUAAUCCUCAACGCAAUCACUCCAGGUAGACACUAUUAUUAUCUUUAUUUUUUCCCUUAAGGGAACUAAGGGAAAAAAAGUUUAAAUAAUGUGCCGAAGCUCACACAGCUAGUAAGUGAGAGAUAACCCAUGGGAAAUACUGACAGAGACAUUUCUGCACCUGCCUGUCUCCAGUCUCCUCACCUGUCUCCCAUGACAACCCCAGUGUGCACCUGUGGGCUCUGAGCCUGUGCAUGCUGGGCUGCUGGGGAUGUCCGGGUCUCAAAACAUCCUAUCAAGUGACACUGUCUAUAAGGCCCAGGGUCGGACAGGCAGGCAGCCUGUCAUUCGUGUCCUGGUACUGACCAAAACAUUGUUUUAAAUUCAGCUCCUGACAUGUGUUCAGUUUCUUUUUUUUUUUUUUUUAAUUUAUUUUACUUUAAGUUCUGGGAUACAUGUGCAGAACGUGCAGGUUUGUUACAUAGGUAUACAUGUGCCGUGGUGGUUUGCUGCAUCUAUCAACCCGUCAUCUAGGUUUUAAGCCCUGCAUGCAUUAGGUAUUUGUCCUAAUGCUCUCCCUCUUCUUUCCGCCCACCCACAGACAGGCCCUAGUGUAUGAUGUUCCCCUCCCUGGGUCCAUGUGUUCUCAUUGUUCAACUCCCACUUACGAGUGAGAAUAUGCAGUGUUUGGUUUUCUGUUCCUGUGUUUGUUUGCUGAGGAUGAUGGUUUCCAGCUUCAUCCAUGUCCCUGCAAAGGACAUGAACUCAUUCUUUUUUAUGGCUGCAUAGUAUUCCAUGGUGUAUAUGUGCCACAUUUCCUGUAUCCAGUCUAUCAUUGAUGAGCAUUUGGGUUGGUUCCGAGUCUUUGCUAUUGUAAAUAGUGCUGCAAUAAACAUACGUGUGCAUGUGUCUUCACAUGUUCAAUUUCAAAAGGAAUGUUCACAAUUAUACUGAGACUGACUUUGUUAUUACUCAUCUAUACAGUGACUGGUUGAGUGUUUUAGGUAAUAUGGAUUGUGAACCCUAUCAUCAUUUUUAAUUUCCUUAGUUUACAUUUUUCUUCCUAGUAUUUUGCCAAAACUGAUCAUUCUGUUAAUAUUCAC